rnacentral:rRNA from 1 species
UACGAAGGGGGCUAGCGUUGCUCGGAAUCACUGGGCGUAAAGCGCACGUAGGCGGCUUUUUAAGUCAGGGGUGAAAUCCUGGAGCUCAACUCCAGAACUGCCUUUGAUACUGAGAAGCUUGAGACCGGGAGAGGUGAGUGGAACUGCGAGUGUAGAGGUGAAAUUCGUAGAUAUUCGCAAGAACACCAGUGGCGAAGGCGGCUCACUGGCCCGGUACUGACGCUGAGGCGCGAAAGCGUGGGGAGCAAACAGG